GGAGGGGUGCCUGAGUGGUCUAAAGGGAGUAUCUUCUUCAACAGGAUAUUGAGUGUUACCAUGCGCUCCGUAGGUUCAAAUCCUGCUCCCUCCGCCA
rnacentral:tRNA from 1 species